rnacentral:rRNA from 1 species
ACGGGAGGCAGCAGCUAAGAAUAUUCCACAAUGGACGAAAGUCUGAUGGAGCCACGCCGCGUGGACGAUGAAGGCCGGAAGGUUGUAAAGUCCUUUAGCAAGUGAGGAAUAAGCGGGAGAGGGAAUGCUCUCGUGGUGACUGUAGCUUGAGAAUAAGGGUCGGCUAAUUACGUGCCAGCAGCCGCGGUAACACGUAAGUUGCUAGCGUUGUUCGGAAUUAUUGGGCGUAAAGGGCAUGUAGGCGGUUUUGCAAGCUUGGUGUGAAAUCUCGGAGCUCAACUCCGAAAUUGCGUUGAGAACUGCAUAACUGGAGUCACUGAGGGGCAAUCAGAAUUCCUGGUGUAGGGGUGAAAUCUGUAGAUAUCAGGAAGAAUACCAAUGGCGAAGGCAGGUUACCAGCAGAUGACUGACGCUGAGGUGCGCAGGUGCGGGGAGCAAACAGGAUUAGAUACCCUGGUA